UCUGGUAUGAAAGGUUUGACGAAAUAUUAACUGUUUCAUAAAUAUUUAUAUUAGAAUUUUAUUUUUUAGUCAAAAAGCUAAAAUAAAUUUAAAAGACGAGAAGACCCUAUAAAUCUUUAUAUUUAUGUUAUUAUAAUUUUAUAGAUUUUUUAUAUUUUAAUAAUUUAUAAUAUUUGAUUGGGGUGAUAUUAAAAUUUAAUAAACUUUUAGUUUUUAAAAUCAUUAAUUUAUGAAUAAUUGAUCCGUUAUUAACGAUUAAAAAUUUAAGUUACCUUAGGGAUAACAGCGA
rnacentral:rRNA from 1 species